GAGUAGGAGGAUCAAACAGGAUUAGAGACCCUGGUAGUUCCUACUGUAAACGAUGCCGACAAAGGUUUGUCAUUUCAAAAUGGCAGAACUUUUAGAGAAAUCAUAGUUCUUGGGCUCUGGGGGAACUACGACCGCAAGGCUGAAACUUGAAGGAAUUGACGGAAGGGCACACCAGGGGUGGAGCCUGUGGCUUAAUUUGAAUCAACACGGGGAAACUUACCAGGACCAGUUGUAUAUAGUGACUGACAGUCUACAGGGCUUUCAGGAUAUGUUUUUUGGUGGUGCAUGGCCGUUGGUGGUGCGUGGGUUGACCUGUCUAGCGUUGAUUCAGGUAACGAGCGAGAUUAUCGCCAAUUUUUACUUUUAUAACAAAAGUUCUAAUUGGGACUCCCUGUGUUAUUUAAGCAGGAGGAAGAUGGUAGCAAUAACAGGUCCGUGAUGCCCUUUAGAUGCUCUGGGCUGCACG
rnacentral:rRNA from 1 species